rnacentral:tRNA from 1 species
GCAGGCCGAGGCGCUGACCGGCCUGUUUGGGCCAGCUGAUUCGUAAUCAGCAGGUCUGGAGUUCGAGUCUCCAUGCUGGCUCCA